GGUCUUGGUGGCUUACACAUGGUGUUAGAACUGUGGGUACACAGAAGUUAAGAAUUGAGGUUAAGGAACCUCCACCUAGAUUUCAGAGGAUGUAUGAAAAGGCCUGGAUAUCAAGGCAAGUUUGCUGCAAGGGCAGGUCCCUCAUGGAG